rnacentral:misc_RNA from 1 species
UGUGGGAGCUGGCUUGCCUGCGAUGCAAACACCUCGGUGUAACUGAUACACCGCUGUGAUGCUAUCGCAGGCAAGCCAGCUCCCACA